rnacentral:lncRNA from 1 species
AGAUUUGUUAGAUUCGAGCUGCCUUGUAGUGUACACAGACGCUCUCCAGGAUUGUGAAGGCAUUCAGAAUGUGGGGCUUGUGCUCUGCUACCUAAGAGGAGUUUGUCAGGUAAGACACUGGCUUGUCUCAUUCCUUCUUUCCCUUUUCUUCUGGGGUGAAGAGGAACGAGGUCUAGCUGAUGGGGAUUAUAAAAGCACAGCCAGAUCAUGGAGAAACCAUGAGACAGAGGCCGUGGGCUGCAUCAGCAUUUCUGCAGUCAACUCAGUCCCAGGAAGCAGAAGGCAGUAUCCAGUGUCCACUGACAACUCUGUGCCCUGCCUUGCCAGCAUCACAGGCCCAGAUACUGAGCAAAACUACCAGCCCUUCCUGGACCUUGUAG